UACGGAGGGUGCAAGCGUUAUCCGGAUUCACUGGGUUUAAAGGGUGCGUAGGCGGGCAGGUAAGUCAGUGGUGAAAUCUCCGGGCUUAACCCGGAAACUGCCGUUGAUACUAUCUGUCUUGAAUAUCGUGGAGGUAAGCGGAAUAUGUCAUGUAGCGGUGAAAUGCUUAGAUAUGACAUAGAACACCAAUUGCGAAGGCAGCUGGCUACACAAAUAUUGACACUGAGGCACGAAAGCGUGGGGAUCAAACAGG
rnacentral:rRNA from 1 species